GCUUCAGUAGCGUAUAUUAAAGUUGUUGCAGUUAAAAAGCUCGUAGUCGCAUUUCUGGCGAGAGGAUCCGGUCCGACCUUUUGGUGGGUUCUUGGGUCUCUUUCGCCAUCCUUGAGUGGUCCGUUCUGGCAUUAGGUUGUCGGAGCGUCAGCCGCUCAUCGUUUACUGUGAGAAAAUUAGAGUGUUCAAAGCAGGCUUAU
rnacentral:rRNA from 1 species